AUUGAACGCUGGCGGCAGGCCUAACACAUGCAAGUCGAGCGGAACCGAAGGGAGCUUGCUCCCAGGCGUCGAGCGGCGGACGGGUGGGUGACACGUGCGAAUCUGCCCAUUAGUGGGGGACAACUCGGGGACACUCGCGCUAAUACCGCAUAAUCCCGACGGGGGAAAGCAGGGGACCUGUUGGCCUUGCCCUGAUGGAUGAGCUCACGUCGGAUUAGCUUGUUGGUGAGGUAAAGCCUCACCAAGGCGACGAACCGUAGCUGGUCUGAGAGGAUGAGCAGCCACACUGGGACCGAGACACGGCCCAGAAUCCUACGGGAGGCAGCAGUGGGAAAUCUUGGACAAUGGGGGCAACCCUGAUCCAGCCAUGCCGCGUGUGUGAAGAAGGCCUUCGGGUUGUAAAGCACUUUCAGCAGGGAGGAAGGCUUUGGCCGAAUAGGUUGAAGUACUUGACGUUACCUGCAGAAGAAGCACCGGCUAAUUUCGUGCCAGCAGCCGCUGUAA
rnacentral:rRNA from 1 species